rnacentral:rRNA from 1 species
AACGCGAAGAACCUUACCUUGGUUGACCUACGCGGGAUCACCCAAAGAGAUGUGGUUUCCUUAGGGGCCUUCGAUAGGUGGUGCAUGGCGGUCGUCAGCUCGUGUCGUGAGAUGUUGGGUUAAGUCCCGCAACGAGCGCAACCCUUCUCCUCUGUUUCCAGCGCGUAAUGGCGGGGAAUCGUGGGAGACUGCCGGGGUCAACUCGGAGGAAGGUGGGGAUGACGUCAAGUCAUCAUGCCCCUUAUGUCCAGGGCUGCAAACAUGCUACAAUGGCCGGUACAAAGGGGUGCGAAACCGCGAGGUCGAGCGAAUCCCAAAAAGCCAGUCUCAGUUCGGAUUGAAGUCUGCAACUCCACUUCAUGAAGCUGGAAGUCGCUAGUAAUCCCGGAUCAGCAACGCCGGGGUGAAUACAUUCCCGGGUCUUGUACACACCG